CCUACGGGAGGCUGCAGUGGGGAAUAUUGCACAAUGGGGGAAACCCUGAUGCAGCGACGCCGCGUGAGCGAAGAAGUAUUUCGGUAUGUAAAGCUCUAUCAGCAGGGAAGAAAAUGACGGUACCUGAGUAAGAAGCUCCGGCUAAAUACGUGCCAGCAGCGGCGGUAAUACGUAUGGAGCAGGCGUUAUCCGGAUGUACUGGGCGUAACGGGAGCGUAGGCGGCCUGCUAAGUCGGAUGUGAAAUACCGGGGCUCAACCCAGGGGCUGCCUGGGAAACUGGCAGGCUUGAGUGCCGGAGAGGCAAGCGGAAUUCCUAGUGUAGCGGUGAAAUGCGUAGAUAUUAGGAGGAACACCAGUGGCGAAGGCGACCUGCUGGACGGUGACUGACGCUGAGGCUCGAAAGCGUGGGGAGCAAACAGGAUUAGAUACCCCUGUAGUC
rnacentral:rRNA from 1 species